rnacentral:miRNA from 1 species
GUGCCUGGUUCUCUUCUUGGAC